rnacentral:rRNA from 1 species
AUUGAACGCUGGCGGCAUGCCUUACACAUGCAAGUCGAACGGCAGCACGGGAGCAAUCCUGGUGGCGAGUGGCGAACGGGUGAGUAAAGUAUCGGAACGUGCCCAGUCGUGGGGGAUAACGUAGCGAAAGGUACGCUAAUACCGCAUACGAUCUAUGGAUGAAAGCGGGGGAUCGCAAGACCUCGCGCGAUUGGAGCGGCCGAUAUCAGAUUAGGUAGGUGGUGGGGUAAAGGCGCACCAAGCCGACGAUCUGUAGCUGGUCUGAGAGGACGACCAGCCACACUGGGACUGAGACACGGCCCAGACUCCUACGGGAGGCAGCAGUGGGGAAUUUUGGACAAUGGGCGCAAGCCUGAUCCAGCCAUGCCGCGUGCAGGAUGAAGGCCUUCGGGUUGUAAACUGCUUUUGUACGGAACGAAAAGGUUUGGCUUAAUACGUUGAACUCAUGACGGUACCGUAAGAAUAAGCACCGGCUAACUACGUGCCAGCAGCCGCCGUAA